UUCUCCUCCUUUUUGGAAGCAGGGCUUAAGACAAGCUUAUAAAACCUGAAGAAAUGCAGCUGUGACUAAUUCUUGGCUGCAGCUGGAAAGAAGAGAGAAGGAAGGCAUAAAGGGCAAAAAGGGUUUUCUUGAACACUCUCACUGGCCUGGCUUCUGUCUGCUUAUCCUGUUGAAACUAGACAAAGUGACUGCAUGGCCCAUUCCAACAAGGUCUACAGAGAAUCUCAGGCUGAAACAUAUGGGGUUUAGCUGCUACACUAGGAACAACACAUCCAUACUGCACAUAUGGCACAAUGAUGUGAGCAGCACUGAGCUAGGACACCAUCAAGGAAGAUGUGGAGUGGCUUCAUUUAAACAUGAACACACAGAGAUGUGAACAGCAGGGCUAAAAUAUCAGCUGUUUACAUAGAACCUGCUCUGGGAAGGCAAUGCCUUUGCUCAUUGUAUUAAAUACAAGAUGAAGGGCAAGAGCUCUGAUGGGCCUUGUGUUACUGCUGAGCAGGGCAGAUCCUACACACGAGUGACUGGAAGAAAAAUAUAAAGGAGGAUGCAAAGCAAGACCCACCUUGGGAAUUGCUGCAAUUUCUGCUUUAGCAAGUUGCUGAAUUCAGGCCUGUGAUUCUGGCAAAGAUGAUGUAGGUAAUUUGUUCUCCUGCGGUAACAUGUUCAAGCAAUGAUGACCAUUAAAUGAUGGAAGACCAUCUUUGAGUGAAUGAAUGUUUCUGAAUGGGGAAUAGGAAGAAAAAUUCUUCUAACUUCAAAAAAAGUGAGUCAGAAAAAGGAAAUGUCCUCUCCUCAUUGUGGUCUUACAUCUAAUGAAUAUACAGAAAUGAAUCAAGGACUUUUCCUCUGAGCUCAAGAAAGAGCAUCUUGAAUUACUUUGUGCCUAUCCCUUGCUAUCCCAAAGCAGUCUUGAGGUCAGCCUGGGAGUCUGGGCAAGGCUGGCAGCUCAGUACUCCCCAGAUGGCAUGAAUGCACGACGCUUCUUUGGAUAUAGAGCUGUUGGCAUGCUGGAUACUGCAUACCUACCUGCCACUGCUGCCACUGUCAUAUCUUUGAAUGAUAAACACUGCUCUUUUCCAGCGGGUGUAGGGACAGCAGUUAAAGAGUGGGACAAUGCUUUCUGAAGCAUCAAGAUGCUAACAGAGAUCUUCAACACAGUCUCUGCCUCUUUCAAGCUCCCAUGGCUGCUUUAUACCAAAGAAGUGGCAUAAGACCUUUCCUUGGCUUUAGUGUUCCACAAAGUAUGAGUGAUUCCCAUGCAUGAAUUCAAGCAUAUCACUGGAAGAACUGGAUCACAGACUGGCUGUAAGAUUUAAAAUGUCUUAUUUACUGCUUUAAAAAUAAAGAUUCCUCAGAUUCCAGUAAAACCAUUGAAACCCUCCUGUAUAGGUUGGUGCUAUAUGGUUUCCAUAUGGGGAGGAACACUUGACUAUUUAAUGGUUUGAUCAAGAGCACUGCUGUUGCUAGGAAAGGUGUCUAAGCCAGAUGAUUUCAGUUGCUGCUGCUAAUAAAUGAGGGCUGCAAACCCGUUGAAAGUGAUGGUAAUGGCUACAAGUGAGACUAAAGCUGAGCAAGCUCAGAGGUGUGUUUUUUGCCAAGACAAGUUUAUAGUGGGUGGUAGAACAUAGAGGUUACUUUUUUAGAAAGGACUGUUGUCUGCAUAUGUGCCUCCUAUUUUAAAACCAGAAGUUCUUCAAUGUCAUGAUAAAUUUUUUGAACAGUCAAAAGCAGAGUAAAAAAUGUGUUAGAGGUGAGUUUGAAGGCUUCAGAAACAAUGGCACCAUGGUUCUCUAAAUGUAAGCACUGUUGUUUUUCUCUGCCAUGAAUUACUUAAUCAAUUAAAAUAUUAGUCUGCAUGAUACAGUUUGUUCAAGUAAUUUGCACUAAGUUAAGAAAAUCUUCAGCUUUAUUGUAAUAAUUAAUUCA